rnacentral:rRNA from 1 species
GCUAAACGCGAAGAACCUUACCUACUCUUGACAUCCAGAGAACUUAGCAGAGAUGCUUUGGUGCCUUCGGGAACUCUGAGACAGGUGCUGCAUGGCUGUCGUCAGCUCGUGUUGUGAAAUGUUGGGUUAAGUCCCGCAACGAGCGCAACCCUUAUCCUUUGUUGCCAGCGGUUCGGCCGGGAACUCAAAGGAGACUGCCAGUGAUAAACUGGAGGAAGGUGGGGAUGACGUCAAGUCAUCAUGGCCCUUACGAGUAGGGCUACACACGUGCUACAAUGGCGUAUACAAAGAGAAGCGACCUCGCGAGAGCAAGCGGACCUCAUAAAGUAUGUCGUAGUCCGGAUUGGAGUCUGCAACUCGACUCCAUGAAGUCGGAAUCGCUAGUAAUCGUGGAUCAGAAUGCCACGGUGAAUACGUUCCCGGGUCUUGUACACACCG